rnacentral:lncRNA from 1 species
GUUUCUUCAAAACUCUGUUUCGCACUUUCCUUCCAUUUUUGUACGUUUCCUUUUCCAUCCUUUAAGUCAUUCUGCCUUAGAAAAUCUGAAACUACUCAACACACUAAUCACGGCAUCGAAUGGAAAUAAAGGUAAUUAAAAUAAUUAAUUUUAAAGCUUAGGAAACAUGUUUUUCACAUACAUCACAUAAUAAGGAAGGGAAAGUAAAACCAUGCAAUUAAUAUGAAUAAGUGGGUGAAGGAUUGAAUAAAUCACUUAAACUAAGCACAAAAUAACUCAUGAAAUAUGGGUUUA